GACGAACGCUGGCGGCGUGCUUAACACAUGCAAGUCGAGCGAUGAACCUUUCAUGAAUUUUUCGGAAUGAUUGGAAGAGGAUUAGCGGCGGACGGGUGAGUAACGCGUGAGCAACCUGCCUUAAACAACGGGAUAGCCUCGGGAAACCGGGAUUAAUACCGUAUGAGACCCCGCCUUCACAUGAAGAAGAGGUUAAAGAUUUAUCGGUUUAAGAUGGGCUCGCGUCUGAUUAGCUAGUUGGUGAGAUAAAAGCCCACCAAGGCAACGAUCAGUAGCCGGCUUGAGAGAGUGAACGGUCCCAUUGGAACUGAGAGACGGUCCAAACUCCUACGGGAGGCAGCAGUGGGGAAUAUUGCACAAUGGGGGAAACCCUGAUGCAGCGACGCCGCGUGAGCGAUGAAGGAAUUCGUUUCGUAAAGCUCUGUCCAAGGGGAAGAUAAUGGCAGUACCCUUGGAGGAAGCCCCGGCUAAAUACGUGCCAGCCGCCGCCGUAA
rnacentral:rRNA from 1 species